GACGAACGCUGGCGGCGUGCCUAAUACAUGCAAGUCGAGCGGAGCGGCGGACGGGUGAGUAAUGCCUAGGAAUCUGCCUGGUAGUGGGGGAUAACGUCCGGAAACGGGCGCUAAUACCGCAUACUAUCAGUUGAGCCUAGGGGGGAUUAGCUAGUAGGUGGGGUAACGGCUCACCUAGGCGACGAUCCCUAGCUGGGCUGAGAGGAUGACCAGCCACACUGGAACUGAGACACGGUCCAGACGCCUACGGGAGGCAGCAGUGGGGAAUAUUGCACAAUGGGCGAAAGCCUGAGGCAGCCAGGCCGCGUGUAUGAAGAAGGCCUUCGGGUUGUAAAGUACUGUCAGCGGGGAGGCGUUACUCGCAGAAGAAGCACCGGCUAACUCCGUGCCAGCCGCCGCGGUAAUAC
rnacentral:rRNA from 1 species